GGAUAUAGCUCAUGGGUAGAGUGCAUGCUUAGCAUGCAUGAGGUCCUGGGUUCAAUCCCCACCACCUCCA
rnacentral:tRNA from 1 species